GUGCCAGCAGCCGCGGUAAUACGGAGGGUGCAAGCGUUAAUCGGAAUUACUGGGCGUAAAGCGCGCGUAGGUGGCUUGAUAAGCCGGUUGUGAAAGCCCCGGGCUCAACCUGGGAACGGCAUCCGGAACUGUCAAGCUAGAGUGCAGGAGAGGAAGGUAGAAUUCCCGGUGUAGCGGUGAAAUGCGUAGAGAUCGGGAGGAAUACCAGUGGCGAAGGCGGCCUUCUGGACUGACACUGACACUGAGGUGCGAAAGCGUGGGUAGCAAACAGGAUUAGAUACCCUGGUAGUCCACGCCGUAAACGAUGUCGACCAGCCGUUGGGUGCCUAGCGCACUUUGUGGCGAAGUUAACGCGAUAAGUCGACCGCCUGGGGAGUACGGCCGCAAGGUUAAAACUCAAA
rnacentral:rRNA from 1 species